rnacentral:lncRNA from 1 species
CAUAUAUUUCAGAAGGAGUUUUAGCAAAAUUGUUCCAAUAAAAAAAGUUGUGAUUCUUAAAGGAGAAAGUAAAUCCUUAACUCAUGGAAAUGUUGGCUAUUCAGAAAAAUGACUAAUGUCUUUGGGAGAAAGAGUAUGGUUAACACAGAUUUUAUUCUCAUUUUUACUCCCAUUGUUUCAGCUAUUACCUUAAACAGAAGCUUCCUUGUUGUCAUUUGCUUGAUGGCCAAACAGGGAUUGGCACGUGGCUUACCAUUCCAAACUGAUUACGUUGCUGCCAGUUGGGGAUCUAACAGAGGACAGAAGAGAUGGAUUUCCAGACAGAGGAAAUAAGAAUACCUGGAAAAAUAUUGAGAAAAUGAAGUCUAUUUAAGGGCUUCAUUUAUAUAUGUUUGGUAGCUCAGGCUGUGAACAGAGCCUGAGAAGAGAAGAUUCUUUGUACAUGAAGGUGACGGGGGUCUUCUUCCUGUGGGCAAGUGCAAGACUAAUGAUGCUUUCAGUGGAAGAUGAAAGAAGAACUCGGGCAAGCUGCAAACAUGCAAGCUGUCAGGGUGAUUCACAGAGUAAUUACAGAAUAAUACAGUGUAAACUAUUAGGGGGUAAUAACAGUAAGUCAGGAUAGACUCAUCGCAUUGAAAAGUUGGGGCUGACAAACCUGCCAGUUAUUUGCUCCUUCUCGAAGUCUAUAAACAGUGUAAUAUGAGCUAAGCCUGGCAACUGGAUUCAAAAGAGACAGAUCUAUUUUUCCUUUUUACAUUAAGUUGUGAUGUAGAAAUGGAAAAAUAGAAAUGUAAGCAGUUAGGCUAAUAUCAGCACUAAUGUCCAGAUACAAUGAUUAUUGUCAGGUGCCUAAAACCCCCAGAUAUGGGGUAGACUCAGUUCAUUGAAAGUCAAAAAUAAAGCAAAGGCAUAAGGAUGGACGUACCUCA